UCCCCGUUACCGGGGCAGUCUAGCUAGAGAAAUUCAACUAGCUAUAAGGGUUGCGCUCGUUAAUGGACUUAACCAUACAUCUCACGACACGAGCUGACGACGGCCAUGCAUCACCUGUCACCUGGCUCCCGAGGGCACCUUCUCCUUUCAGAGAAGUUCCAGGGAUGUCAAGCCUUGGUAAGGUUCUUCGCUUACCUUCGAAUUAAACAACACGCUCCACCGCUUGUGCGGGUCCCCGUCAAUUCCUUUAUGUUUUAGCCUUGCGGCCGUACUCCACAGGCGGGAUGCUUAACGCGUUAGCUUCGCUACUACCAGGGUCGAUACUGAUAACAGCUAGCAUCCAUAGUUUACGGCGUGGACUAC
rnacentral:misc_RNA from 1 species